CGGCGAGUGAAGCGGCAACAGCUCAAAUUUGAAAUCUGGCCCUAGGCCCGAGUUGUAAUUUGCAGAGGAUGCUUUUGGUUAGGCCCCUACCGAGUCCCCUGGAAUGGGGCGCCACAGAGGGUGAGAGCCCCGUAUGGUUGGACGCCGAGCCUUUGUAAAGCUCCUUCGACGAGUCGAGUAGUUUGGGAAUGCUGCUCUAAAUGGGAGGUAAAUUUCUUCUAAAGCUAAAUACCGGCCAGAGACCGAUAGCGCACAAGUAGAGUGAUCGAAAGAUGAAAAGCACUUUGAAAAGAGGGUUAAAAAGUACGUGAAAUUGUUGAAAGGGAAGCGCUUGUGACCAGACUUGCGCCGGGCGGAUCAUCCAGCGUUCUCGCUGGUGCACUCCGCCCGGCUCAGGCCAGCAUCGGUUUUCGCCGGGGGACAAAAGCUUCGGGAACGUGGCCCUCUUCGGAGGGUGUUAUAGCCCGUUGCAUAAUACCCCGGCGGGGACCGACGACCGCGCUUCGGCAAGGAUGCUGGCGUAAUGGUCAUCAGCGACCCGUCUUGAAACACGGACCGAGGAGUCAAGCAUUAGUG
rnacentral:rRNA from 1 species